rnacentral:rRNA from 1 species
UACGUAGGGUGCAAGCGUUAUCCGGAAUUAUUGGGCGUAAAGAGCGCGCAGGCGGCUGGUCAAGUCCGAUGUGAAAGCUCCCGGCUUAACUGGGAAACGGCAUCGGAAACUGAUCGGCUUGAAGGUGGGAGAGGGUAGUGGAAUUCCCGGUGUAGUGGUGAAAUGCGUAGAUAUCGGGAGGAACACCAGUGGCGAAGGCGACUACCUGGCCCACUCUUGACGCUGAGGCGCGAAAGCUAGGGGAGCAAACAGG